AGUGGGCCGCGGGAGGUGAGAAGGGAGGGGCCCCUUGCAGGGCCUCCCGGCCCCGGCCCGCCCCUCGCCCCGGGGGAGGAUGAACCGAGUGGGCUGGAGUUGGCGGGAGGGAGCCUUUUUUGGCCUCCUUCCCUCUCCUGGCCCGCACGGACUCCCCCCGGUUCCCCGAUGAUGUUCAGUGUGAAGCUCGAGUCGCUAGAGAUCUUCCUGGGGGUCUGGUUUAGAGGCGAGGGUACAACCCAGAUGCUGCGAGCUGCUGAGCACGUUGCGAUGGUUUGAAGACGGUUUCGAGAAGAGGGGGGCUGAUUUUCCGGUGGAUGGAUUUUGAAGAGGAGAUAAGGCAGUUUUCCCAUUUUGGCAAAGGAGAAAUGUUCGCCAUAUUUGGAUUAGCUUUACUUCUGGGACAUGGAUUUUGCCAAGCUAACGUGAAAGUUGGUGAUGGUGGAGAUGGAUAGCUGACGGAACUAAUUACUGUUCAAGUGGGCGCAGUGGCGAGAAGGAAAUUGCUAAGCUCACCUACAGUCAGACGGACAGCAUAAUUUUCCAGGAAUCAAGAAUCAACAUCAGGUUAUUUCCUAAGAGGAAACUUUGAAAGCCCACCUAGAGGCUGCACAGCCAUCUGCACACUUGAACAUGAAAAAUGCUCUUCUUUCAUCAGGAAGACCUCCCUCUUCAGCUAAAUCAUCAGAAGUGAUGAGAAGGAGAAGAAGGGAUCCCCACCCAACCAAACUCAUCCGGACAAAUUAAAUUGUGUUGUUUGUUUGUUUGUUUGUUUUUGUUUUUAAGCAAGGAAUGGAGCUGCACGAGGGUGACCAGGUCACCAUCUUCUGCUCGCACCAGCGCUGAGUAGCCCCCUCCAGGACUGCCAUCUACAUGGAGGUGGUGCCCUGAGGAAGAGCACCUGGCGGAGGCAGCCGAUGGGGAGCUGGAAUCCUGCCCGUGCUUUACUCACCCAGCGAAGUGUAUUGGUGCAUGGCCGUGUCUACCCAGACAAGGUGGCUCCUUUUUUCAGUUUGCACCAAGGCACCCUGUUAUAGGCUGGGGGCAACUCAGACCAUCCCACCCCCACACCCCAGUCCUAUCCAGGAUUACCUCAGGUGCGUUAAAGAUUGUUACGAAGAAUUUAGGUUUAUUGUAAAAGAUGACGUACUUGACACAGUUGAAAUUAAAUAGGUAAAACUCCAAAUAUUACCAUAUAUAUGAGUUAUGUAUGUACAUAUCUAUAUCUAUCUAUCUCUCUCUAUAUAUAUGUAUAGUGAUGUCAAUACACAUUCCUAUGUAUCAGAAGUUAACACAACUUAAAUUUAGUAAAUGUUUAAAAUAAAAUUCUUUUAGAUAUUGCAA